CGGAAUUAUUGGGCGUAAAGAGCUCGUAGGCGGUUUGUCGCGUCUGUCGUGAAAGUCCGGGGCUUAACCCCGGAUCUGCGGUGGGUACGGGCAGACUAGAGUGCAGUAGGGGAGACUGGAAUUCCUGGUGUAGCGGUGGAAUGCGCAGAUAUCAGGAGGAACACCGAUGGCGAAGGCAGGUCUCUGGGCUGUAACUGACGCUGAGGAGCGAAAGCAUGGGGAGCGAACAGGAUUAGAUACCCUGGUAGUCCAUGCCGUAAACGUUGGGCACUAGGUGUGGGGAACAUUCCACGUUUUCCGCGCCGCAGCUAACGUAUUAGGUGCCCCGCCUGGGGAGUACGGCCGCAAGGCUAAAACUCAAAGGAAUUGACGGGGGCCCGCACAAGCGGCGGAGCAUGCGGAUUAAUUCGAUGCAACGCGAAGAACCUUACCAAGGCUUGACAUGUUCUCGAUCGCCGUAGAGAUACGGUUUCCCCUUUGGGGCGGGUUCACAGGUGGUGCAUGGUUGUCGUCAGCUCGUGUCGUGAGAUGUUGGGUUAAGUCCCGCAACGAGCGCAACCCUCGUUCCAUGUUGCCAGCACUUCGGGUGGGGACUCAUGGGAGACUGCCGGGGUCGACUCGGAGGAAGGUGGGGACGACGUCAAAUCAUCAUGCCCCUUAUGUCUUGGGCUUCACGCAUGCUACAAUGGCCGGUACAAUGGGUUGCGAUACUGUGAGGUGGAGCUAAUCCCAAAAAGCCGGUCUCAGUUCGGAUUGGGGUCUGCAACUCGACCCCAUGAAGUCGGAGUCGCUAGUAAUCGCAGAUCAGCAACGCUGCGGUGAAUACGUUCCCGGGCCUUGUACACACCGCCCGUCAAGUCACGAAAGUCGGUAACACCCGAAGCCGGUGGCCUAACCCUUGUGGAGGGGGCCGUCGAA
rnacentral:rRNA from 1 species